rnacentral:rRNA from 1 species
CGAACCGACUAAUGUUGAAAAAUUAGCGGAUGACUUGUGGCUGGGGGUGAAAGGCCAAUCAAACCGGGAGAUAGCUGGUUCUCCCCGAAAGCUAUUUAGGUAGCGCCUCGUGAACUCAUCUUCGGGGGUAGAGCACUGUUUCGGCUAGGGGGUCAUCCCGACUUACCAACCCGAUGCAAACUACGAAUACCGAAGAAUGUUAUCACGGGAGACACACGGCGGGUGCUAACGUCCGUCGUGAAGAGGGAAACAACCCAGACCGCCAGCUAAGGUCCCAAAGUCAUGGUUAAGUGGGAAACGAUGUGGGAAGGCACAGACAGCCAGGAUGUUGGCUUAGAAGCAGCCAUCAUUUAAAGAAAGCGUAAUAGCUCACUGGUCGAGUCGGCCUGCGCGGAAGAUGUAACGGGGCUAAACCAUGCACCGAAGCUGCGGCAGCGACACUAUGUGUUGUUGGGUAGGGGAGCGUUCUGUAAGCCUGCGAAGGUGUGCUGUGAGGCAUGCUGGUGGUAUC